GGGGUUGUGGCUCAGAGGUGGAGAGCUCACCUAGCAUGUGUGAGGCACUGGGUUCGAUCCUCAGCACCACA
rnacentral:tRNA from 1 species